UACUGAAGUUUAGAGCACAGAGGGGUUUUUCUGGAAGGAUGAGACCGCACGGAGAAGGUUGCAUUUAAGCUGGGCCUUGGAGGCCAAGAAUGAUUUGCAGAUUCAUAUGCUGGGAUGAGUGACCAUUCGCUUUUCUAUGUGUGCCAGUGAGAGUGCCCAGUGGGUCUCUGCAGCUGUCCCAUCCCUCAGCAUCAGAAAAGUCCAAGGACAGGAAUCCAAGAGUCCCUGGAAUCAAUACAGUCAGGAGGUGCAAGCCUUGGACAGCGUCCAGGAUGCCGAAAGGGCUGGGCUCCGGGCACCGGCGGCAGUGGAGGAUUCUCCCGGCAGCGGGACCCCGUCCUCUCGACCUGGAGCUCCAGCGGCGAACACCCGGGACAACUUCCAGAGAGGCCCUAAUCUUUCUAUAAACAAUGGGUCUCGGUUCCUUUGUUUGGUUCCUCUGGGAAAGAUGCCAAGGUAGAAGUGCAAGAGACUUCUUGGGAGAAACUCUUGUGAAGGAUUAGGGGGUGAGGGAAGGGGGAUCAAGAGGAGACACGGAGAGCCUUCAGACUGGGAUGCUGAUCUGCCUAUUGAGAAAGGAGCGAGGGAAGGAAGAAGGUGGGGCAGAAAGAGCCUCAGACCGGAGUGCAGCUCUGAGGAAGCCUCAACCAGGCUUUUGGAGUCUGAGCGCCCCUCUGUUAAAGAAGUUCCACGCUGGCAGGCUGACUCAGCUCUAGCACACACCCCCCACCUCCACCCCACCCCAUGCUCUGCCUUUGCUGACAGCAGCCUGGGGAAGAUUGUGGCCUCAAUGUGAACCUUCUCAUGGAUUCCAGAUAGUAUAUUCUAGAACUUGAAGGGAGAUUUGAGCAGUGCACUACCAAGAUGGUCAUAGUUAUCCCACUAGGCAUAUGCUCUUGGGAGCCUGAAAUGUUAAUAGUACUGGGCCUAGUAUGGGCACUCAGUAAGCCCUGGAAUGAACUCAAGAAUGAAUGCCCUGUUAUAUCCUGCAAGCGUGAACAAGGGCAUGUUCUGUAAAAACCAGCUUGUGGAAGUGGGACCUCAUGUGUGUAUAUGUGUGUGUGGGGGUGUGUGUGUGUGUAUGCUCAGUUGUGUCCAACUCUUUGCUACCCCAUGGACUGUAGCCCACUAGGCUCUUCCGUCCAUGGAAUCUUCCAGGCAGGAAUACUGGAAUGGGUUGCCAUUUCCUUAUCCAGGGAAUCUUCCUGACCUUCAUGCUGCUGCUGCUGCUAAGUUGCUUCAGUUGUGUCCGACUCUGUGCAACCCCAUAGACGGCAGCCCACCAGGCUCCCCCGUCCCUGGAAUUCUCCAGGCAAGAACACUGGAGUGCCAUUUCCUUCUCCAAUGCAU
ensembl:lncRNA